rnacentral:lncRNA from 1 species
GAUUAUCAGAAUUUAUGAAUACAUAAUAAUAUAUUUAUAAUUUGGUGUUCAUAAUUUUGUUGUAUUCACCUGGAGAUUUUGUGCUAGGAACCGAUGUUUGGUGAUGGUAAUCUGCAGAGGUAAAAAAAAUAUGAUUAUUUAGAUUUGCAUGCCAUUUUCUUUUCUUUUCUUUAUAUAUAUAUAAUAUUUGCUUACUGACUUUGUGAUGGUUGCUCGGUUGUUGGUCGUUUAUGGUACGGACCUAUGAAAUUCAGUACAAGAAAUUUAGAAUUCCACAAUAAUGGCAGCAAAUAACUUUCAGCAAGGCAAGAUGGAAAAAGCAUUUAUUUACCUUUAUUUCUAGAUAGGCUUUCAAGCUUAGCGAAAAGGCCGACAAGAGGUGCAGACCCGG